rnacentral:rRNA from 1 species
UACGUAGGGUGCGAGCGUUAAUCGGAAUUACUGGGCGUAAAGCGUGCGCAGGCGGCUUCGCAAGUCAGACGUGAAAUCCCCGGGCUUAACCUGGGAAUGGCGUUUGAAACUACGGAGCUGGAGUGUGGCAGAGGGAGGUAGAAUUCCACGUGUAGCGGUGAAAUGCGUAGAUAUCUGGAGGAACACCGGUGGCGAAGGCGGCAUCCUGGACCGGCAUUGACGCUGAGGCGCGAAAGUGUGGGGAUCAAACAGG